rnacentral:rRNA from 1 species
CCUACGGGUGGCAGCAGUGGGGAAUAUUGCACAAUGGGGGAAACCCUGAUGCAGCAACGCCGCGUGAGUGAAGAAGGUCUUCUGAUUGGUAAGCUCUGUUAGCAGGGAAGAGGGAUGACGGUACCUGCAGAGGAAGCUACGGCUAACUACGUGCCAGCAGCCGCGGUAAUACGUAGGUGGCAAGCGUUGUUCGGAAUAACUGGGGGUAAAGGAUGCGUAGGCGGUUAAACAAGUUAUAUGUUAAAUAUAUAGGCUGAACCUGUAGAAAGCAUAUAAAACUGUUUAGUGAGAGUGAAGGAGAGGCGAGUGGAAUUCCUAGUGUAGCGGUGAAAUGCGUAGAGAUUAGGAAGAACACCAGUGGCGAAGGCGACUUACUGGACUGUAACUGACGCUGAGGCAUGAGAGCGUGGGGAGCAAACAGGAUUAGAUACCCGGGUAGUC